GGAGGAUAAAGAUACUGUAAUAAUGUUUCAAAGAUGAAUAUCGUUAAACACGUUGAUUAAAUAUUAACAUAUUUUUAAAUCACAUUUAUGAGAGUUAGGCGAAGAUUUUGUGAUGGAUUUUAUAUUUGCUACUGUACAAUAGGGGAGGUUACUGCGUAGGAGACGAACAUUUUCUUAAACCGGUUUAGCAUCAAAUCAAGUAGGACCUACUCCGGUGACCUCAGACGAACAUUCGUGUAAAAAAUGGAUUGAAAUGGACAAUCAUAAACUUUUGGGCUAUGGACUUAUUGAAGACAACUGUAUGGAGAUAAACAGAAACACAGAGGUGCUAUACUUUCUGAUGGAAAAGACAACAAAAGCAUCUCCCAUCAUUUUGGCGUGGCUCAGAUCAAGAGGAGAAAUUUAAAAAAGGUGAUGGUUGGGCACAAACAAGAAGACAUAGAUCACAGGCGUAUAGCAUAUGAGUAGACAGGAGUUUCACACUCUGCCAGACUUACUUCCUCAGACGAGCAGAUUUAGGCUUCUCA